UGCAAAUAUAUAUUUUUAACAUCACUCAUACGUCAUUUUGUGCUGGUGAUCAUAGAGCAUAGAACUAGCCAAAGUUGUAAAAUAUGACCACGUCAAGUAAACCAGACGAUGUUAAACCUGUUACUACUGGGUCAACUUCAGCUAUGUCAACUCAGAGGACGUGAAAUGGUCUUAAAUCGUGUCGGCUUUACCAACUCCAAUUCCAUACGUAUAUCCUGGUAUUCGUUUUCUUGGCUCCUUUAAUUGAUACAAAAAUAGCGGAC
rnacentral:lncRNA from 1 species